UCUCUGCGUAUAGGUGGUGGGUGCGGC
rnacentral:sRNA from 1 species